rnacentral:rRNA from 1 species
GAUGAACGCUGGCGGCGUGCCUAAUACAUGCAAGUCGAGCGAACAGACGAGAGUGCUUGCACUCUCUGACGUUAGCGGCGGACGGGUGAGUAACACGUGGGUAACCUACCUAUAAGACUGGGAUAACUUCGGGAAACCGGAGCUAAUACCGGAUAAUAUUUAGCUUCGCAUGAAGCAAUAGUGAUAGACGGUUCUGCUGUCACUUAUAGAUGGACCCGCGGUGUAUUAGCUAGUUGGUGAGGUAACGGCUCACCAAGGCAACGAUACAUAGCCGACCUGAGAGGGUGAUCGGCCACACUGGGACUGAGACACGGCCCAGACUCCUACGGGAGGCAGCAGUAGGGAAUAUUCCGCAAUGGACGAAAGUCUGACGGAGCAAUGCCGCGUGAGUGAAGAAGGUUUUCGGAUCGUAAAACUCUGUUGUAAGGGAAGAACAAGUACGUUAGUAACUGAACGUAGCUUGACGGUAACUUAACAGAAAGCCACGGCUAACUACGUG